UUGAAAUAAUGAAAACAUGAGAGGAUUAAAAGCAUAAAUAACCCAUAAGUGCUUAAAACCCAUUUCAAUCUCAAAUUUAAAGCUAUUCUGCAGCAGCUUCAAAAAUUGUUUCAUCUUCUUCCCAACUCCUCACGCCAAAACCCCCUCCCUUUUAACUUUGAUUUGGAUAAAUGAAGCAAACGAUACCGACGGCGCGCCUCUGCUGAUUUGAUUUGGCUUUAUAUAGCCGAAACAACGGAGAAAGAAACUAUCGAAAAAAAAAACUCUCCCCUCCUUUGUCGUCCUCUCUGCCAUUAUUUUUAUUCGUGGUUCAUGGCUUGUUGCCGGUGUGGGCGUUGGAGAACGUGGGUGAGACAACGGGGGCAGUUGCUAUGCGAUCAUGCGUGAAGACGGUUGCUGCAACGUGGGGGCGAGGGUGAUGCCGAUCUGCUGCUUAUUGCCAAAUGUUUCUGCUGUUCAUUUUUUUUUAUUUUAGGCUAGUGGGUCAGGUAUUUGGGUUAAUGACUUGGGCUUGUAAUGGGUUUGGGCUUUAAGCUUAGUUGGGCCCGGGUCAAAAAUUGGGUAUUACAGACAUAGUCUACUCCUCUUGUAAUCAUUCGAAUUCGACAUAGUGAAUUUUUUUCUUCUCUGCCCGUGGUUUUUUCCCAAAAAAGUUUCCAUGUAAAAA